UACGUAGGGAGCAAGCGUUGUCCGGAAUCAUUGGGCGUAAAGCGCGCGUAGGUGGCCCCGUAAGUCCGCUGUGAAAGUCAAAGGCUCAACCUUUGAAAGCCGGUGGAUACUGUGGGACUAGAGUACGGAAGAGGCGAGUGGAAUUCCUGGUGUAGCGGUGGAAUGCGCAGAUAUCAGGAGGAACACCAAUAGCGAAGGCAGCUCGCUGGGACGGUACUGACGCUGAGGCGCGAAAGCGUGGGGAGCGAACAGG
rnacentral:rRNA from 1 species